rnacentral:rRNA from 1 species
UACGAAGGGUGCAAACGUUGCUCGGAAUUAUUGGGCGUAAAGCGCACGUAGGCGGCAUCGCAAGUCGGAUGUGAAAUCUUAUGGCUUAACCAUAAAAGUGCAUCCGAAACUGCAGUGCUUGAGUACUUAAGAGGAUCGCGGAAUUCCCGGUGUAGAGGUGAAAUUCGUAGAUAUCGGGAGGAACACCAAUGGCGAAGGCAGCUCGCUGGGACGGUACUGACGCUGAGAAGCGAAAGCAUGGGGAGCGAACAGG